rnacentral:rRNA from 1 species
GAUGAACGCUGGCGGCGUGCUUAACACAUGCAAGUCGAACGUGAGAGGUAGCAAUAUCUUGAAAGUGGCGAACGGGUGAGUAACACGUAGGUGACCUGCCUCGGAGCGGGGGAUAACAGUUAGAAAUGACUGCUAAUACCGCAUGAAUCCACUGGGAUGGGAAGAAUGGUGGAGAAAACUCUGGUGCUUCGAGAGGGGCCUGCGGUCGAUUAGCUAGUUGGUGGGUAAAGGCCUACCAAGGCGACGAUCGAUAGCUGGUCUGAGAGGACGAUCAGCCACACGGGAACUGAGACACGGUCCCGACUCCUACGGGGGGGCAGCAGUGAGGAAUAUUGGGCAAUGGGCGGAAGCCUGACCCAGCAACGCCGCGUUGGAGGAAUGAAGG